CUCCCAAAGCCUAUCCCUCUCUCUCUCUCCUCCUCAGACACUCUCUCUCUCUCUCUCUCUCUCUCUCUCUCUAGAACUUUCUCGAUUUCUCUCUCUAAAGCAUCUGAAUUAGGGUUUUUGUUCGCAGUUUCUUGAUCUGAACUCUUGGGAUACCUGCGAGGUAUCCAUUUUCCGGCGAAGGGAAGAUUCGUGUUUUAAAUAUGACAUCUGAUCAGGCAAGGGCAAGUGCUUUUAGUGCUGGAUAGAGCGAAUAGAAGGAAUGUCUGAGUUGUGUAUGUAUGAGGUAGAAAUCUCUUUUCUAUUAUCAAGAAAGGUGCUACAGCUUGAAGAUAUUGUUCUGGAUGAAUUUGAUCAGACUGAUGAUCAUAUAGUACCUCACCCUGGUAAUGAACAUGGGAUUGAACCUGCAUUUCAGGGUAAUAGCUGCAAGAAAGCUCGAUGUGAAGUAAUUGGCAUUUCAAGUUCUGCCAAUUAUGCUAGUCAGGUCAAGGGGGAAGGAGGAUUGCAACCUCUGAAGAACACAAGUGAAACAAUGUUGGAAAAGGAUUUGUGGUCUGACAGACCUGAAGCUGUGUUUACUGCUUCACAUGAUAGUGACGCGAACAAAGUGACAGCUUUAGAAUCUGAUAAUACAAGGAUGUCUAGUCAUUGCUUAAAAAGAAGUAACAUGGAUACAAUCAAUACUGAGUUUUAUGCUGAUGAUCCUAUCAUUGGUGAGAGGUGUGCUGUGGUUGAUAGUAACUCCUAUAAUUAUCCUCUCGGCGACAUUUCUGAAACAGAAAAUGAUUUCAGUCUUUUCCAUAAUGAUAGUGAGGGCAAAGAAUCUAAUGACCUCUUAUAUUAUGCGUGGCCUGAUAUUGGAAACCUUGAGGAUGUUGACAGAAUGUUUAGAAGUUGUGAAUCAACAUUUGGGAUUGGGGGCGCUGGCAACGAAGAUGAUUUAUGUUGGUUUUCAUCAUCACACUCUAUUGAAGGGCCUCAGGAUGUGUUGAAGUCGGAGUUCAAGUUUUCUUGUCCCGAGUCAAGUCCAUUUAAUAAUAUACCAGAACAACAUGAACCCUCUAAACUGAACAAUGCAAGUUCUUCAGUCAACAAUUCCAGCAUGGAGAGUGCAUCUAUUAGCUAUGAAUCUGGUUUUCAGGCAUCAGAAGGUGUUGAGAUUGAUGCUCUUGAUAACUUGAAGUUCAUGAAUGGGUCUGGUACAAUGUCUAAAAGCAAAGAGGAGGUUAAAAGCAUGUUAGGUUUGUAUUUUUUAUUUUUUUUUUUGCAGGGAGUUGAGUUUAAUGGUGCCGUUCAUUCCAACAUUGCAACUGUCAACCACUCUGAAACUGUGAACAGUGGGAUGAUCAAUUUUCAGAACCUGCAGGCAAAGCACCAUAAUCAAUCAGAAGGAAAAAGAAAGGACCGACGCUUCAAAAAUGGUGGCUUGUUCCAUCAGACUGGAAACCUAUGGUUUAAAGACACAAAGCUUCCUUCUGGGAACUCAUCUCGUCAAGUUUUCACCUCUUCAGGCAUUCAGAAACCAAAGAAAAAUGUAGGACCUGGUUCCUUUGGUUACUUGCAGACCCAAAUACCUUAUGUUCAUUUGGACUACAUCCAUCCUUCAGAUCAAAUUCCAGUUUGUUCAACACCCUCUGGUAUCAACUCCAAAAGUAAUGGUCUCAUAUCUCUUACCCCAAAGGAGUCUUGUUGUGUAUCGAAUUGUUCAUUUGAGGCCCCUGUCAUAACAGUGGAUGGCAAAAGAGGAAAGCUACAACGCCAACAAGGAUAUCAUCCCCCAUAUACUAGCAAUUCUAAACAUGUGGAUUUGGUGGUUCAGACCUGUGAUCCAAUUUCAGUCCCAAAGCAAGUCCACCAUUCUCAAAAUGAAAUUGAAAAUCACAUUGAAGUCAAAGGAGUUGACAUAAAAGUUCCAGCAGAUUUAGAUUCUUCAAACGUACAGGAAAGUUCUUGCAUGAGCUCGGGGUUCGGUGAAAUCUCACUGGAAGCAUCUAGUUUUCGCCAGCUUCAACAAGUCAUGGAACAGCUGGAUAUGAAGACAAAAUUAUGCAUAAGGGAUAGUCUGUACCGCUUGGCUAGGAACGCUGAACAAAGACAUCAUCACAUGAAUUUGAAUGAUGGCAGCGUAGAUGAUGGAGACACCAGUGGAGCAUUUAUGGCUGAAGGAACAAAAAAGUCCAAUGGAUUUAUGGAUUUGGAAACUGAUACAAAUCCUAUAGAUCGGUCCAUAGCACACUUACUAUUUCACCGGCCUUCAUACUCGUCCAUAAUGCCAGCUCAUGAUAGUUUGUCUCUCAAUUCACAUACAAUGAUUCAUGGGUCUAGCACCAGUCCACUUGUUAUGGCUGAGAAACUCAUUUGUGAAGAAACUGCCAGUGAAGAAGAUAAAAAAGUAGUGGAUCAACGACAAUGACCAAUGAAAUCAUUAGCUUCAAUGCAGUAACAAUGAAAUAUGUCUAUUAUGGAUUACUAAGCAUGAUCAUGUGUAUAAAAUACAUCGAGAGGCUGCCAUGAAACUGCCAGACAAAACAUGAAGGUGGUCUUUAAUGUUGUCAACAUUGUACAGCCACAAACAUAUGAUUUUCCCAUCAUAAUACAGCAUUCCAGUAUGGCAAUCAAACUUUGUGUUGUUCUUUUUUUGUAGCCAAUGAAUGUGUUGCUGGAGAGUAUUGAGUUUCUUCUGGUGUUUUGCAUCAACAAUGUGCAAAGCAUUUCCAUUUUGUAAUUAUAUGUGAGGUUUUUGGUGCUAUUAUGUACACACAUUUUCAUUA